rnacentral:rRNA from 1 species
CCCAGACUCCUACGGGAGGCAGCAGUGGGGAAUAUUGGACAAUGGGGGGAACCCUGAUCCAGCGACGCCGCGUGAGUGGAGAAGUAUCUCGGUAUGUAAAGCUCUAUCAGCAGGGAAGAAAGAAAUGACGGUACCUGACUAAGAAGCCCCGGCUAACUACGUGCCAGCAGCCGCGGUAAUACGUAGGGGGCAAGCGUUAUCCGGAUUUACUGGGUGUAAAGGGGGCGCAGACGGCGAUGCAAGCCAGGAGUGAAAGCCCGGGGCCCAACCCCGGGACUGCUCUUGGAACUGUAAGGCUAGAGUGUCGGAGAGGCAGGCGGAAUUCCUAGUGUAGCGGUGAAAUGCGUAGAUAUUAGGAGGAACACCAGUGGCGAAGGCGGCCUGCUGGACGAUGACUGACGUUGAGGCUCGAAAGCGUGGGGAGCAAACAGGAUUAGAUACCCUAGUAUAG